GGACAGGAAUGUUUCUGGUGAAAACACCAUUAGCCUUCCAUGGAGCUACCAUUCACCAACCUAGAGGUGGCGUUCAUUUUACUGGCUUUCUUCAUCUUUACCUUGUUUACUCUGGCCUCCAUCUACACCAGCCCUAAUGAGAGGAAUGAAGAAGAUGACCUCCACCUAAAGGAAAAGAGAAGGAAAAGAAAAGAGUUUAAAAAGAAGAAAAGUUGCUCAGAUGAAGAACACAGAAUUGAAACAAUAUAACCAUGACCUCAGCCACCUGUGAAAGCGCAACUCCCCUAAGAAUGCCUGCUGGGAUUGCUCAACUGGCCCGCAAGACUGAGGACAUUAAAACAGAUUUCAGAUCAUAAUCACUAGGACUCAACACAGGGAGCGAGGCUUCAUACUCUCUUUUUGACACCCUGUUCCAGAAUAUUUAUAAUGCCGAUUAUGAGCACUAGCUGUAAUAAAAAAAAAAAGAAUACAGUCAAAGUAAGAUCUUUCAAGGAAGAGAAAAUAUGUAUGUAUUAUAAUCUAGUUAGAGAAAAACAGUCUCUGGAACUGUGGCUCAGUGGGAGAGUACUUGCCUAACAUGCUUAAGGCUCUGAGUUGAUUCCCAGCUCUGAAAAAAAAGGGGGGCAGGGGGAUAAAUAAAUAAAUAGGGUGCUGGUGAGAUGGCUCAGUAGUUAAGAUCACUGGCUGUUCUUCCAGAAGUCUUGAGUUCAAUUCCCAACAACCACAUGGUGGCUCACAACCAUCUAUAAAGGGAUCUGAUGCCCUCUUCUGGCAUGCAGCUGUACAUGCAGAGCACUAAUACAUUUAAAAUUAAUGAAUAAAUGAAUGAAUGAAUGUACAAUGACUUUUAAAAAUUAUGUACAUAUGUAUGUGUCCAUAUGUAAAUAUGUUCACAUGAGUGCAGGUACCCACAGAGGCCAGAGGAGGGCAUCAGACCCUCAGAGCCAGGGUCACAGGAGGCUGAGUCACCAGGAUAUUGAGACCUGAACUCAGGUCCUCUGCAACAGCAAACACCCUUAACUACUGAUCCACUACUCCAGCUCCAAGAACAAUACAUUUUAACUGCUUUUCUUUCCCCUGGAUAUGCACAUUAUAAUUUAUAAGCUACAGUUCUUCUGUUGUAAAACUACAAUUAACCAUAUCCAUGCUGCUGCUUAAUUAUCGGACUUAAUAAGGACUUCUGAAAUAAAUACUAAAGACAAAA